rnacentral:rRNA from 1 species
AGUGAACGCUGGCGGUAGGCCUAACACAUGCAAGUCGAACGGCAGCACUGUAAGAGCUUGCUCUUACGGGUGGCGCGUGUCGGACGGUUCAGGUAUACAUCGGCAUCUACUUUUUCGUGGGUGCUAACGUAGGGAAACUUACGCUAAUACCGCAUACGCCCUACUGGUGAAAGCAGUGGAUCUUCGGACCUUGCGCGAUUGAAUCAGCCGAUGUCGGAUUAGCUAGUUGGCGGGGUAACGGCACACCAAGGCGACGAUCCGUAGCUGGUCUGAGAGGAUGGUCAGCCACAGUGGAACAGAGGCAGAGGCAAGACUCCUAGGGGAGGCAGCAGUGGGGAAUAUUGGACGAUGGGGGGAAGGGUGAUACGGACAUAGCGCGUGGGUGAAGAAGGAGUUCGGGUUGGGAAGCGCUUUUGUUGGGAGAGAAAAGAAGCAGGUUAAUACGCCACAGUGCUGACGGUACCCAAAGAAUAAGCACCGGCUAACUUCGUG